GCAAAUCACCUAGUGUUAAAUUUCUAGUGUUAGUGUUUAGAGUUGACUUCUGAGAGUUGCUUUUUCAUACCUUACACCAGACAGUGUUGAUUCAUUUACGAAUAAAGUGUUAUUUUGCAGUGUGAUUAAAAUACACUUUCACAGUGUGAUGUACACUUCCAGGAAGUAGUACUACGUUUGGUCUGCGCUGCUCACUGAAAUGGCGGCUUCUCCCACAUGUAUGGAAGAGGUAGUAUGUUGUUAGUGUGCUGAUUUGUGUUUUGAUAUUUUAAUUUAAAGUAAAUUUAUUGUAGUUAAUAUUUUAGUCAAAACUAUGUAUAUUUGUUAAUAUUGAGUUAAUACGUUUUCAUACAAAUGUCGCAUUGGAUGUUAUUUUAAAAGAUAUUUUUGAACGAAGAUGAUGUUUUUAGUAAAUGUUUAAAAAUAACAUAAAUUGUAUCAGUAAUAAUCAACAUUAUUAUUUUUCAAAGUGUGCAUAAUUGUAAAUUCUCUUAAUUAGUUUUACAAACGAAGAUGCCAUAUUGUGGCAAAACGCGCUUUUUGUCUUGGUCAUAGAUAAUUAUACUUCUGUGAAGACGAAUGUGACUGAUUUCUGAGACACGGUAACUGGACAUUUAGUAAGCAACAGAAUAAAAAAUUGUGGAGAUGCUCAUUAAAGUUCAGUACGGGAUACAAAAAAAAUAUGUUAAAGUUGGCAAGGAUGGAUUACACUACACUGAUUUUAUUAAAGAAGGUGAGUAAAAUGCAGACUCUUUUUGUAUUUAUUUUUAAUGCAUAACUGCUAUAUUGAAUUGACCGAGUUUUCAAAACAAGCGAAUGUAAAAGUUGUGAUUGUUUCUUUUACUUUAUAUCAUUAAGUGGUGAAAAAGUUCGGGCUCCCAGAAGAUCUAAUUUUGCAUGUUUGCGAUGACACUGGAACAGAAAUCGACGAGGAAGUGUUUGGCGAAAUAGUCAAGUUAAAGCCAGAAAUGUGUUACAUUGUGAAAGACGUCGGCACUGAAUUUCCUUUGGCACACUCAUCCCCCAGCUCCUGCACUGACACACUUUCAGUAUCUUCAGCAAGCGAACAGGACGCAGGCCCACCAGCAAAGAGGACGCAACUUUCACCUGAUAGAGCCACAGAUGCUAAAGAGGUAUAGCAACAUAUUCAUUUGAUUAAUAUGUGAUCAUAAUAUUUUAUAUGUUCAUUAUGUGGUUUCUCAUUGUAGAGUAGUAUCUGUAAGACCUUUACUUUUUGUCGAUACCCCUGACUUUUUUUUUAGCUUUGUUAAAAACAUUCUAAUGAAGAAACCUGGCGGAGAAAAAAUAAUGCAAGAAUACUGGGAAAAAAGAACGCUCAGUGACUGCACAAGGAGACAGCUCAUCAACAUGUUGGUUGCAUACAUGACAGAAGAACAGGGACGAAUUCCAGCAAAAGAAAUAAAGAGAAAAAUAUGCUUUAGGGAUUGUUACUCUUUUUCCUUCUCUUAAGGAUCUCUUUUCUACAAAAGGAUAUGUAAGUGACCAAAAUCUUUUUUUUUUUCUUACUGGCAUACAGUUUAUUAUUCUGUAAAAGUUUUAAGAGAUGACAUAUAUAAUAAUUUGUUUGCUUUUUAUUUUAUUUUUUAAGGAACAUUUUUAAGAUACAGAGAGUGAUACUGGUUACCUUGCAUGGCACCUAAAAACAGUGCAGCAUAAGACUUUGUUUCAAAGCAAGGAAGUAAAACAAAAUAAAAAUGGAGGUCUAAGUUCAGUGUGAGAAAUUCUUCAUCCAGAAGAACAGCUAACUGGAGACAGUUGCAGAGAAGCAGUAUCUUUCCUGACUCAUUGUUCCGAUAAAGUACUCAUUUAUUAGAAAAUGAGAAAAAAAUUUCAAUACCACCAGCAACUAGUGCAUAACCCAGAGAAAAUGACAUCUGCACUUUCCGUCUUUCCGAGAUUUUUGGAUACAAAAGGCUUGGUAAAUCAAGAUUUCAGUCUUUUAUUUGGCUCUGACACAUCUUCCAAAUUGCUUGAGAAGUGGGAUACCUGCUUUAAGUUUAAGAUUAUUAAAGAAGCAAGAUCUCUGACAGGUCAGAUGGCUGAUUUGAAUAUUCUGCUGAAGUGUGCAGAAUCUACCUUUGAUUUUGAAGAUCAUGAAUCAUCAGGGUUUAUUGGUUGGGAUGCAGACAUGGUCUCAAUUUUAUUAUUAGUCUAUCUUUUCUCACCACCGGCUGGAGGAAAAAAAGUGCCAAAAGUGGGGCAGUUGACCAUAUGGUACAGUUUCAUAAGUCAUGCUGCAGUAUUGAUGAACACCUCAGCCAAAAUGAAGGUCGCCAGCCUUACCUUCUGGCAGUAGGAACAACAAAGGCCAAGAUCCAUGACUUUUAUAUUGUCCUGGACAAACAGCUUAUACCAUGUCAGGCAAGAAGUUCUUUGGGAGCAUUCGAUGAGCUUUUUAAGGCUCAUUUUGUAUUCAGUAUUUCCUAUGAUAAGGCCUUAAUCAAUGUAUAUACAUUCUUGCAAACAACUGUUUACAACAUUGAUAUUGGACAUGUGAGGGAAUCACCAAGGGUUAAAGAAUUAAGAGCAAAAAUAUUGAAUAAUUAAACUUAUUGAUUGCUGUUCAUUCAUCAUAAUGACAAAUAUAUUAAAGUGUUUUUCAUGCUUGUUGUCAUAUGCAGAUAGCAAUGCAUUAAUUAGGCAUUUGAAAAUAGCACAUGGAUAUUACCCUGGUAAAAAGUUAAGACUUACUUGUGCUCAAGAAGGAUGCUCUCGGAUAUGUUACUCAUAUGCCAGAUUUAGAAAACAUUUCAAUGUCGCCCAUGUAAAUGAUACAAGACAAUAUGUUUACCCUGAAAUUACACACACAUUGAAUUCUUCUGAUGAAAACCAAUGUGUUUGCCCAGAAAUUACAUAUGUAUUUAAUUCUCCUGACAAGCAUGAUGCAAGCAAAAACACUGAUAUUUGUGUAACUGAGAUUCCCCCAACUUGUCGCAUUACAAAUAACCACCUUAAAGAAAUGUGUGCAUCCUUAAUAGCAAAGCUGCAAGCAACUGGUACCGCAAAUAGUAUUAUAUCAUCAGUAGUGGGGGAUAUGGAAGAAUUUGUUAAUGAAAUGCAAUUUAAAAUUAAGGAGGACAUUUUGGCUACACUUACAUCACAUAAUAUAAAUGUAUCAGAUAUAGAAUCAUCCAUUUGAAGUAUUGAUAACCCCUUCAGUAGUUUAAAUUCAGAAAGGAAACGAACAAGGUAUUUUACUAAAAAGUGGGGAGUAAUUGAACCCAUUGAAAUCUCUCUUGGAGUUAGGUAUGAUAGCAGACGAAAUCCAAGAACAGGUACUUAUGAUCAGGUUCCUGUAACUGAUAAAUUUAUAUAUGUUCCAAUUUUAGAGUCAAUAAGAUGUAUUUUUAAAAACCCUGACAUAUGCAGUAUGUUUCUUGAAAGCAGAAAAACAAAAGAUAACAUUUAUGCUGACUUCCAUGAUGGAAGCUACUUCAAGACCCAUCCAUUGUUCUCUGAAAAGAAAAAUGCUUUGCAAAUCCAGAUAUUCUAUGAUGAUUUUGAAACAGCAAAUCCUCUGGGUUCUAAACAUGGCAUACAAAAGAUUGGCCGCUUAUACUUUGUUCUCAGAAAUUUCCCACCAAGGUUUAAUUCAGCUUUAAUGAAUAUUCACUUGAUUUCACUUUUUCACUCCCAAGAUGUUAAAAUAUAUGGAUUUGAUCCUUUUUUGAAGCCAUUAGUUGAUGAUAUCAAAAUUCUUUAAAGUAGUGGAUUACAGCUUUCUUUCUCCCAGGAACCAAUGUUUGGGUCCAUAUCACAGGUCACCAGUGAUAAUUUAGGGAUGCACACAAUUCUUGGCUUUGUAGAGUGUUUCAGUGCCAGCUAUCACUGUCGUCUCUGCUUGACGGACAAGGACCGAUGCAAAACUUUGUUCAGUGAAGAUGAAAGUGAUGUCAUCUUAUGUGACAAAGAUUUGUACAGAUUGCAUCAAAAUGAGUUAAUGAGGGAUUCCAGGGUUAAAAUCGUUGUUUGGAUUGAAAAAGUUUUGCCUGCUUAACAGUUUACAGUAUUUUCAUGUGUGUGAUAAUUUUGCAUUAGAUAUAACAUUCUUGAAGGAGUAGGCCAAUAUGAAAUUAAAUUGCUUUUUUUGUAACUUACUGAAAACAUUAUUUCUACAGAUGAUCUGCAUUGUAGAGUUUACUCUUUUAAUUAUGGCUAUUUAGACAGGAGAAAUCGGCCCACAAGACUAAAUUUGGAAAAGACUGGUAAUAAUAUUGGCAUAAAUGCCAUUCAAACAUUUUGCCUUAUAAGAAACAUUCCACUUAUGUUUGGUGAUGUAGUCAGAGAGGGAAAUAAACACUGGCAUCUAUUGCUGCUCUUGUUGCAAAUUAUAAACAUUGUUUUUUCUCCUUGUAUUACUGAGGGUAUGGCCAUUCAUCUUAAACAUUUAAUAAUAGAACAUCAUAAGCAUUUCAAAGUGCUGUUUCCUGAAAAAACAUUACUUCCAAAACAUCAUAAUAUGAUACAUUAUCCCUCAUCCAUUCGAAAAAUUGGUCCGCUGUUACAUGUCUGGUGUACGAGAUGUGAAGCUAAGCACAGAUUUUUCAAAAACACUGUUAAGAAUUUUAAGAACCUAACCAAAUCACUUGCCAAAAAGCAUCAGAAGGCAAUUGUAUAUCGUUGGGAGUCUUCACCUCUGAAACAAAUUGAAUAUGGUCCUGUUAGGACAGUCUUACUCAGUGAAUUCUUAGACUGAAAAUUUAGCGCAGACAUUGCAAUGUAGUCUGCACAGUGAGGUUAACUGUGCAGAAUGGAUUAACUACUGUGGUGUUGAGUAUAAGGUAGGGGUGAUGGUCUGCAAUAAAAUUGAAGAUGACAUUCCUGUCUUUAGAAAAAUAUUGUAUAUAAUUCUUAAAGAUAAAAAGUUAUUUAAUUACAGUUGAAUUUGAUACAGUUUGCUUUGUUGAACAUCUUCACAGUUUUAGUGUGCAGGAAAGAGCUUUGAAAGAUAUCCAAGUAGUGGAAGUGGAACAUUUAAAAUACUACAAACCAUUCGACCUCCAGGCAACUUAUGGAGGUGAAGAUAAUUGUUUUUAUAUUGUGACAUCCUGUUGCUUAACUUGAACAGCUGUAUGUGUCCAGGAUCUUUGAAAAGAUACUGAGGAUUUCUAAAUGAAGUAGCUGCUUAAAAACAGAACAUAUAUUUCUAAAUUUACUUGCAGAAUAUUUACAUUUUCCUAGCACUUUUUAAUAUUAACAUUUUUUGUAACUAUGCAAGAAAUGAAAUGACAGUGUUAGACUUUAAGGCUGUUCACUGUUCGUGAAGCAAUGCAGUUAAAGUAAGUGAUCAGUACAUGGGGGCGAGAGAGAGUAAUGAACAAGACCAUCAGGCCCCAUUAAACUUUUUCAGGAAAAAAAUGUUCUGGCUUUUAUUCAAUAUUGGUUUCUAGACAUUUAUUAGGCCGUACCACAUGACUGAGAGAAGACUGAGUAAUUAGGCCAAGAUGUCUCAGCAGUAUCAUUUCUUUUAUAAAUAUAAAUACAUUAUAACAACAGUAAAUGAUCCUGUGCAUACUGAAGCAACAUAGUUGUGCUACAUAUUUGUAUAAAGUUUUGGAAUACCUGAUAUAAUUUAGAAAUUACCUUGUAUAAUGUCUACAUUAUUGUCAAUCGUUGGUCUAUGUUCUAUAUAGAAAUUGUUAGUUUGUUCAUGAUCUGACAUUUCAGAGUUAAUUUCUGCAUGUUAAAAAUACAUUGUUUGGUUUAAUAUUACUGUACAUAAUAAUUGGGAUAGUUAAUUUUUUUUGAGGAAAUAAUAAGGCAUAUUGAUGGUUGUUCAUGUGUAACUUAUGUCUUUAGUUAAUGUUUCAAAUAAGAUAAGAGUGAUGGUGUGAAUAAAAACUGUUAUGGUGUAGGCCUUGUUUUUUUUACUCUUUCAGUAGUUACUGUGAAAACCAUUAUUCUAUGCACCAGCAAAUUAGACAAAGCUAGUAAAAGCAUAACUGUUUUGAUACAAGUAAAAA